rnacentral:rRNA from 1 species
UACGUAGGGUGCGAGCGUUACCCGGAUUUAUUGGGCGUAAAGGGCGCGUAGGCGGUCACGCACGUCCGUUGUGAAAUCGCUCGGCUCAACUGGGCGGGGUCAGCGGAUACGGCGUGGCUGGAGCAAGCUAGGGGGCAAUGGAAUUCCCGGUGUAGUGGUGGAAUGCGUAGAUAUCGGGAGGAACACCAGUGGCGAAGGCGGUUGCCUGGAGCUUUGCUGACGCUGAUGCGCGAAAGCGUGGGGAGCGAUCCGG